rnacentral:rRNA from 1 species
CCUACGGGUGGCUGCAGUGGGGAAUAUUGCACAAUGGGGGAAACCCUGAUGCAGCGACGCCGCGUGAGUGAAGAAGUAUUUCGGUACGUAAAGCUCUAUCAGCAGGGAAGAAAAUGACGGUACCUGACUAUGAAGCCCCGGCUAACUACGUGCCAGCAGCCGCGGUAAUACGUAGGGGGCAAGCGUUAUCCGGAUUUACUGGGUGUAAAGGGAGCGUAGACGGCAGCGCAAGUCUGGAGUGAAAUCACAUUGCUUAACCAUGGAACUGCUUUGGAAACUGUGCAGCGAGAGUGCAGGAGAGGUAAGCGGAAUUCCUAGUGUAGCGGUGAAAUGCGUAGAUAUUAGGAGGAACACCAGUGGCGAAGGCGGCUUACUGGACUGUAACUGACGUUGAGGCUCGAAAGCGUGGGGAGCAAACAGGAUUAGAUACCCCAGUAGUC